rnacentral:rRNA from 1 species
GAUGAACGCUGGCGGCGUGCCUAAUACAUGCAAGUCGAGCGAAUGGAUUAAGAGCUUGCUCUUAUGAAGUUAGCGGCGGACGGGUGAGUAACACGUGGGUAACCUGCCCAUAAGACUGGGAUAACUCCGGGAAACCGGGGCUAAUACCGGAUAAAAUUUUGAACCGCAUGGUUCGAAAUUGAAUGGCGGCUUCGGCUGUCACUUAUGGAUGGACCCGCGUCGCGUUAGCUAGGUGGUGGGGUAACGGCCCACCAAGGCAACGAUGCGUAGCCGACCUGGGAGGGUGAUCGGCCAAACUGGGACUGAGACACGGCCCAGACUCCUACGGGAGGCAGCAGUAGGGAAUCUUCCGCAAUGGACGAAAGUCUGACGGAGCAACGCCGCGUGAGUGGUGAAGGCUUUCGGGUCGUAAAACUCUGUUGUUAGGGAAGAACAAGUGCUAGUUGAAUAAGCUGGCACCUUGACGGUACCUAACCAGAAAGCCACGGCUAACUACGUGCCAGCCGCCGCCGUAA